rnacentral:rRNA from 1 species
GGACCCGCACAAGUAGUGGAGCAUGUGGUUUAAUUCGAAGAUACGCGCAGAACCUUACCAACACUUGACAUGUUCGUCGCGACUUUAAGAGAUUAAAGUUUUCGGUUCGGCCGGACGAAACACAGGUGCUGCAUGGCUGUCGUCAGCUCGUGUCGUGAGAUGUUGGUUAAGUCCCGCAACGAGCGCAACCCUCACUUUUAGUUGCCAUCAUUAAGUUGGGCACUCUGAAAGAACUGCCAGUGAUAAGCUGGAGGAAGGUGGGGAUGACGUCAAGUCCUCAUGGCCCUUACGUGUUGGGCUACACACGUGCUACAAUGGUAUCUACAACAGGAAGCAAGACUGCCGAAGUUUAGCAAAA